rnacentral:rRNA from 1 species
UGAGGAAUAUUGGUCAAUGGACGAAGGUCUGAACCAGCCAAGCCGCGUGAAGGAUGAAGGUGCUGAGCAUCGUAAACUUCUUUUGUCAGGGAACAAAAUCGUGGAUGCGUCCGCGAGUGAGUGUACCCUGAAGAAAAAUGCAUCGGCUAACUCCGUGCCAGCAGCCGCGGUAAUACGGAGGAUGCGAGCGUUAUCCGGAUUUAUUGGGUUUAAAGGGUGCGUAGGCGGGCUGUUAAGUCAGCGGUAAAAGCCCCGGGGGACUCAACCCCCGGCGAGCCGUUGAAACUGGCGGUCUUGAGUUGGCGAGAGGUAUGCGGAAUGCGCAGUGUAGCGGUGAAAUGCAUAGAUAUUGCGCAGAACUCCGAUUGCGAAGGCAGCGUACUGGCGCCAUACUGACGCUGAGGCACGAAAGCGUGGGGUAUCGAACAGGAUUAGAUACC